CCCACGAGAGUGUUCACGCGCGGGAUGCCGGUCUUGCGAUACCUCUGCUUUUUUUCUAUCCUGACAGUGGUUUUGUCGGUUGCUUGUGAAGCUCCGAAAUCUUCCGGUCACAUGAAGGCCCCUGCUCUCUCCUCUGCGGGACUUUCCAAGAUUUUUUAUCGUCGAAAUCACUAACAUACUCUCUAUGCUGCGGUAGAUACAGACUGCCUUUUGAGAUGAUAUCCUGGUUGCCACAGCUUCUCUGCCAAUCAGAUUUGCACGGCUGCGCCGCCACUCCAACAGAGCCCGCGUUUCAGCCGUCUCAGUUUUUUCUCCACCUAAACCAACGUGGGGGUUUACUUUAUUGCACUCCCCCCUGCCGACGGGGUCACCGAAGGAAAAUGGCAGAUCUCUCAGAGGAUGGAGAGCGUUCGGGGAAUGCAGGAAUUAUGUGGACGGGCCGAUGACAAAUGCAAGUCUCCGUGUGUGAGCCGUGUGACUAGGUUGAACCUAGAGUAAGGGAAAACAGGUGCUGUUACAAACGAAGUGGCUACGCAGGCCGCAGAAACACAAGCGCACACGUCACCCCGAAGGAGGAGUUACAGAACAGUUUUCACGCUCGUGCACGCCGUGUUUCCCCGAAAUCCACAACCGGCACAGCGCGAGGAAAGACAUCUUCGACGCGUUAUACCCUACGUGUCGUGUGAGGUCGGACGUCGACCGCUCCCUUACGCACGCGGCGCGUCUUCUCGCUUCUCUGCGCGAGGGACAAGAAGACGCGGAAAACGACAACGCCACAUCUCUCUGCUGGAAAGGAACGACUUUUUCGGUUGCACAGAUUGUGAAGCGUCCUUGCUCUCUUCUGUCUCGGUUUCUUGGUGACAAAAGUGGAUCUGUGCACCGCACACGUGCGUACGUACGCAGCCCCCCCUCCCCGUGCCUUUUCCCUGCCUGGCUUCGCAGAAACUGGGACGACCAGACUCGGUCUCCUUACGUGGUCUGGGAACUCAGCGACAGAGCAGAAAGCUUCGCAUUUUUUGACAGUCCUCAGCACGCGAAUCCUCAAGCAGAAUCCGGCAGGGAAGCCUCGACGCGCGCGCGCUACCGCCCGGAGAAAUCGUCUCUCCAGACGAAACAACUUUUUAUCGGUACAUGCACGCCGACCGCCGCUUCGAAGAGCGCGCGUCGACUUUUCGUGGCACGUUUGUGGAGGCCUUCGUCCGAGGUUUGCUCCCGGUCUUGCCCCAGCUGUGUGUUGCUGACUUGCCCAUGGAGAACUCCGCUCUCUCUUAGGCACAGAUCUCGAGCUUCAGGCCGUGCUUGACGGCGUCCGGGUUGCUCGGCUUCGAGACGUCGAUCUGCGACCCGAUGGUGGCGGAGACGUAGUCGCACACCUUGUGGGUGAGGGCGACACUCACGCGUGCGUUCUGGGUGAGUUUCGCCUUCAAGAAAGUGUCUUUCUGGUCAUUCAAGUACCACAGACCGCCGAACUGAAUGUUGGUGCGGCCAUCCAGAAGGUUGCAGUCGACUUCCGCAGCCAGCUCCGCCGACUUGUUGUCCGUCGUCUUUCCGUGCACACUGCCGAUCAUGCGGCCGAAAACGGCAUCGCCACUCGGCGCACUGCACAAGGAACGCAGAAAUCGCAGAGUCUCACCCCCAUGGAGACGCGAAAAAAGACCCCGCAGCCCUGAGACUGAACCGCACUAGCGAGCACCAGGGGGUUCCCCGUUCUCGUCGACUCGCCGCCCGCCGGAACGAGGAUCUUGUCGCUCUUUUUGCUCACCCCUCUCUUCCACUCCUGUCUGCCUCUCGCCUAAAAACUGAGAUCUCUGUGCGCGGCCUCGAAGAUCGCCUCAACGCAAAUCCACUUACGUCUUCACGGACACGGUGAAUUCACCAGCCUUGCUCGCCAGCCCGGUGUACGAGGCGCCGACGGCGUACUUCAUCGCAGAUGCGUCGAACUUGCCAGUCACUUCGCCUGCACAAAACACGACAGUCGAAAAUCUCAAACAUGCAAGUCAGCCGGAGCGAAAUCCGAGAACGGACUGGAAAGUGCCUGGACCGCCCGCGCGACCCCAGGAAAGGUGGGGGAAACGCGACCCCGGCGACACACACAUGACGGAACCACGAGGCCUGCAGUGGAUUGCGAAGCAGCAACGAACGCUGCGCGAGAACGCUGGAAAAAGCGCCGAGCUCCGCGUACUUCCAAUUCUGAAGGCUUUGUAUUCAACGACGUUGCCAAAGUUGAACGAAGAAGCGAGGGGGUUGACUGAGAAGAACGAGUGAAUGGUUGGGAGCUUGUACUCGGCCAAAAUGUCGAGGCUGUCCUUCGACGUCUUGUCACCACGGCGAUCGAACUUGGCGCCGAGCGUCAAACCCUUCAGCGUCGGCGGCUGCACACACGUCCGCAGAGAAACAAAAAGAUGCUGACGCGGCAGAGCAAUGGGCACGUGCACCAGCGCACAGAUGGAUCUGCAUGUGUAUGUUCGUCGCACCUCCCAGUGGGGGAACGAGAAAACGCGGUUAAACCACGUUGUUCGCAAGCGACUAUAUACUGCACACACGUUUCAGACGCCCCGGUCACAAGCUCAGACGUCCUUACAAGUUCUCCACGGACCACGUGCGUUUGUGUACUGUCAAAGUCGUGGACGACGCGAAAGCGGACUAUCACGAGCGUCAACACACAGGCCGGAAAAUGAGAAUCUUACCGCGUACUUGACGUCGAUGGUGGACUUGCCCAUCGCCAUCAUCUUCACUUCGGUCGUGACAUCGCUGACGCAGUACUUCAGUUUGGAGCUCGCGUCAAACGCACCUCCGGGGCUAACGGAAGCUGUGUUCACGAUUUCCUGAGGGACCGGAAAGCAUUCAAGACGCGCGUAUACGUGGGGAAACCGCCAGAGGCAGUGCGCUGCCUCCGUCUUCGACGCGCAGGCGAAGCCGCAGCGCUGUCCACGUACAGCCGACCGGAGCUUCAGAAUUUCUUCCUUAUGGUACGGUUGGUUGCGCAAAACGUUUUUUGUCGCUGAAUCGUCUGCAUGUGUGUAAAAACCGAAGCCUGGCAGCAGGAACGUCGUGGCAGCUGACCGUCCGCCACUGUCCCAACACAGACCCCUGGACGCCCUCCCCUAGGCAGUGCAUGCGAG
rnacentral:lncRNA from 1 species